rnacentral:rRNA from 1 species
CAGCCGCCGCGGUAAUACAGAGGAUGCAAGCGUUAUCCGGAAUUAUUGGGCGUAAAGGGCUCGCAGGCGGUUUCUUAAGUCUGAUGUGAAAGCCCCCGGCUCAACCGGGGAGGGUCAUUGGAAACUGGGAAACUUGAGUGCAGAAGAGGAGAGUGGAAUCCCACGUGUAGCGGUGAAAUGCGUAGAGAUGUGGAGGAACACCAGUGGCGAAGGCGACUCUCUGGUCUGUAACUGACGCUGAGGAGCGAAAGCGUGGGGAGCAAACAGGAUUAGAUACCCCUGUAGUCCCUGUCUCUUAUAU